rnacentral:rRNA from 1 species
UACGUGAGUGGCGGACGGGUGAGUAACGCGUGGGUAACGUGCCUCAUACAGGGGGAUAACAGUUAGAAAUGACUGCUAAUACCGCAUAAGACCACAGUACCGCAUGGUACAGGGGUAAAAACUCCGGUGGUAUGAGAUGGACCCGCGUCUGAUUAGGUAGUUGGUGGGGUAACGGCCUACCAAGCCGACGAUCAGUAGCCGACCUGAGAGGGUGACCGGCCACAUUGGGACUGAGACACGGCCCAA